rnacentral:rRNA from 1 species
GACGAACGCUGGAGGCGUGCUUAACACAUGCAAGUCGAACGGAAAGGCCCUGCUUUUGUGGGGUGCUCGAGUGGCGAACGGGUGAGUAACACGUGAGUAACCUGCCCUUGACUUUGGGAUAACUUCAGGAAACUGGGGCUAAUACCAGAUAGGAGCUCCUGCUGCAUGGUGGGGGUUGGAAAGUUUCGGCGGUUGGGGAUGGACUCGCGGCUUAUCAGCUUGUUGGUGGGGUAGUGGCUUACCAAGGCUUUGACGGGUAGCCGGCCUGAGAGGGUGACCGGCCACAUUGGGACUGAGAUACGGCCCAGGCUCCUACGGGAGGCAGCAGUGGGGAAUAUUGCACAAUGGGCGGAAGCCUGAUGCAGCAACGCCGCGUGCGGGAUGACGGCCUUCGGGUUGUAAACCGCUUUCGCCUGUGACGAAGCGUGAGUGACGGUAAUGGGUAAAGAAGCACCGGCUAACUACGUG